CGCGUAGGCGGCCUGACAAGUCAGAGGUGAAAGGCUACGGCUUAACCGUAGUAAGCCUUUGAAACUGACAGGCUUGAGUGCAGGAGAGGAAAGUGGAAUUCCUAGUGUAGCGGUGAAAUGCGUAGAUAUUAGGAGGAACACCAGUGGCGAAGGCGACUUUCUGGACUGUAACUGACGCUGAGGCACGAAAGCGUGGGGAGCAAACAGGAUUAGAUACCCUGGUAGUCC
rnacentral:rRNA from 1 species